rnacentral:rRNA from 1 species
UACGUAGGUGGCAAGCGUUGUCCGGAUUUACUGGGCGUAAAGCGCGCGCAGGCGGGUUGGUCAGUCUGGGGUGAAAUCUCACAGCUCAACCGUGAGGGGUCCCUGGAUACUGCCAGCCUUGAGGGGCUCAGAGGAGAGUGGAAUUCCGGGUGUAGUGGUGGAAUGCGUAGAUAUCCGGAGGAACACCAGUGGCGAAAGCGGCUCUCUGGGGGCAACCUGACGCUGAGGCGCGAAAGCGUGGGGAGCGAACCGG